GAUGAACGCUAGCUACAGGCUUAACACAUGCAAGUCGAGGGGAAACGACAUCGAAAGCUUGCUUUUGAUGGGCGUCGACCGGCGCACGGGGGAGUAACGCGUAUCCAACCUGCCCACCACUUGGGGAUAACCUUGCGAAAGUAAGACUAAUACCCAAUGACGUCUCUAGAAGACAUCCGAAAGCGAUUAAAGAUUUAUCGGUGGUGGAUGGGGAUGCGUCUGAUUAGCUUGUUGGCGGGGUAACGGCCCACCAAGGCGACGAUCAGUAGGGGGUCUGAGAGGAAGGUCCCCCACAUUGGAACUGAGACACGGUCCAAACUCCUACGGGAGGCAGCAGUGAGGAAUAUUGGUCAAUGGGCGAGAGCCUGAACCAGCCAAGUAGCGUGCAGGAUGACGGCCCUAUGGGUUGUAAACUGCUUUUAUAAGGGAAUAAAGUGAGUCUCGUGAGACUUUUUGCAUGUACCUUAUGAAUAAGGACCGGCUAAUUCCGUGCCAGCCGCCGCAGUAA
rnacentral:rRNA from 1 species